GGGAAGGUGGCUCAGUGGUAGAGUGCUGGCCUUGCAUGCAGGAUGCCCUGGGUUUGAUUCCUCAACAUCCCA
rfam:Dipodomys ordii contig_95300, whole genome shotgun sequence.